rnacentral:rRNA from 1 species
GCCUCAAGUUAUGUGUGACAACCCCCUGAAUUUAAGCAUAUUAAUAAGGGGAGGAAAAGAAACCAACCGGGAUUCCCUGAGUAGCUGCGAGCGAAACGGGAGAAGCUCAGCACGUAGGGAUGGCGGCCCGCCCGUCUAUCCGAUUCCGUGUACUGGUACGUCUCACUAUCCGUCUUCCUAGUGGUAUUCAAGUCCAACUUGAACGUGGCUUUGAACCCAUAGAGGGUGAUAGGCCCGUAGAACACCACCCAGCGGUUGAUGGACCGAGCGUACCAUGGAGUCGUGUUGCUUGAUAGUGCAGCACAAAGUGGGAGGUAAACUCCUUCUAAAGCUAAAUACGACCAUGAGACCGAUAGUAAACAAGUACCGUGUGGGAAAGUUGAAAAGCACUCUGAAUAGAGAGUCAAAUAGUACGUGAAACUGCCGAGGGUGUAAAGCCUGUUGAACUCGAUUAUCCGUAGUUCCUGGCAUCGUGGGUUUUGGCUGUCACGCAGAAGGGGGCCUUCUGUAUGCCUUGACCCUAGCCAGGAACGAGUGCGGACAUCGUGAUCCAUUACGCAAACCAAAUGCGAGCGGCGACUCCGGUUGCUGCGAGCAUAUCCAACAUCAGGUCCCAGAACAUGCGGUCGACCCUCUAGUAGUGGCGCUCAGCUUAAGGCCGGCGUCGCGAACGGGGGAUCGAGGCUCCGGUCUCGAGUUCGGCUAGUUCCGGUGUGCCGUUGGAUGCGUGAUGGGCAUUGAAGUGAACUAGAGAAGUGUGAAGCGCAUGUUUGGGCAUGUUCAAGGGCGAAAGCCUGAGCCGAGCACGACUCCGGAUCUACGAUGUACUAACUAAUCGAGGUACCUACGGGACCCGUCUUGAAACACGGACCAAGAAGUCUAUCUUGCGCGCAAGUCAAUGGGAGUAGCAAACCCAAAGGCGAAGAUAACACAACUGCAAAGUCGUUGCGGGAUUACGGGUGCACCACAGUCCGCGAGGACUGGCUAGCUGUGCCGCCCCUCCAUCCCCGGGUGUUUAGCAACGGAUCUGUAGUGCCGCGGACCCCCCGACAGGGGUGGGCAUUUGCAGAGCCAACGCGACAUACCGCGAGCGCGCAGGAUGUGACCCGAAAGAU